rnacentral:precursor_RNA from 1 species
CGAGGGAACCGAGGCUGGCUGGGUCUCGAGGUGGGGGCCCUCUCGCUUCACUUCCACCCAGCCUCAGUCCCCUCGAU